CCCUUACUGUGACGACUAGGGUAUCUUAUAUCACCACCGGUGCUGUGUACAAAAGUUAAUUUCGUACGAUUUUUCUUACGGAAUUCGAGACUUGCGACCAAAGUGGCGGCGUACACUGUAUUGUAAUACCACGACAUUCGAAUCUGGUCCGAAUUUCUUUUCAUUUAAAAAGUCCCUGUACAAAACGCUAGCAGUACGGUUAUACGUGUACGCGUCAGCUUCGACUUGUACCGCCUGUUGUUCCGUGGAACUUUAACGUCGGAAUAAUUCGGUAUCGGAUGAUGCGAUAAGAGCGAGGAUUGCUUCACGUACAGCCUAUUUCCGCCACACGAACAAAUCCUUUUGAAUCUGAAUCACUCGACUUCGCACGGAACAGUCAUGACCGAAAUGAAAAUUGAAAUCUAAACCAGAAUGAUACCAAAAUACCGCAAAAUAUUACAUUGAUUUUAGAUUUGUAUGUAUUUUCGUGUUUAAGUUUUGUUCCCUAAAUUUCGGAUGUGUAUACGAAUGCACGCUUAUAAAAAAAAAAACAGUUUAUUGGCCACAAAUAGUAUUGUAAAAAAUAUACUGACCAAAAUCAAACCGAUUAUUGUAUUUAAAAAAUCAAUAUCCAUUACGUGUUUGACAGUACAUACACUAGUAUACGUUACUUUAGUUACUCAAGUUUUCAGAGUGUUUAAUUUCCAUAGUUUUUCGAUAUUUUUUACGCGUUCAGAUUUCAGAGCAAUAUGGUGAUUGACUAAGAGCCUAUAAUGGUCGGACAAAUUAUGGUGAAAAAAAUAU